rnacentral:rRNA from 1 species
UCCUACGGGAGGCAGCAGUGAGGAAUAUUGGUCAAUGGACGCAAGUCUGAACCAGCCAUGUCGCGUGUAGGAUGACUGCCCUAUGGGUUGUAAACUACUUUUUUACAGGAAUAAACUUUUCCACGUGUGGAGAACUGAAGGUACUGUAGGAAUAAGGAUCGGCUAACUCCGUGCCAGCAGCCGCGGUAAUACGGAGGAUUCGAGCGUUAUCCGGAUUUAUUGGGUUUAAAGGGUCCGUAGGCGGGCUUGUAAGUCAGUGGUGAGAUCUCACAGCUCAACUGUGAAACUGCCAUUGAUACUGCAGGUCUUGAAUUUAGUUGAGAUGGGCGGAAUACGAUAUGUAGCGGUGAAAUGCAUAGAUAUAUCGUAGAACACCGAUUGCGAAGGCAGCUCACUAAGCUAAUAUUGACGCUGAUGGACGAAAGCGUGGGGAGCGAACAGGAUUAGAUACCCUGGUAGUCCACGUCGUAAACGAUGAUCACUCGUUGUGCGCGAUACAUUGUGCGCGACUGAGCGAAAGCAUUAAGUGAUCCACCUGGGGAGUACGUUGGCAACAAUGAAACUCAAAUGAAUUGACGG